UUAUUUUUUUUAUUUUUUUUUUAAGAGGGUUACAUCGUAGCUAGAUUAAGAAAGUGUUUAACCUAACUUAUGAAAAAUUAACUUAUAAGUAUAAGCUAAUUUCAUAGUUAUUAAAGGUUCACAGCACACCAAGGCAUAAUAUAAUGUUUUUAUAUGCAAUUAAUAUUUAUUUUUAUUUUAUAGCACCACAAUUAAAUUACAUAUAUG
rnacentral:misc_RNA from 1 species